rnacentral:rRNA from 1 species
UACGGAGGGUGCAAGCGUUAUCCGGAUUUACUGGGUUUAAAGGGUGCGUAGGCGGGCCUUUAAGUCAGUGGUGAAAGCUCCGAGCUUAACUCGGAAACUGCCAUUGAUACUAUUGGUCUUGAAUUCGGUCGAGGUUGGCGGAAUGUGUCGUGUGGCGGUGAAAUGCGUAGAUAUCCGGAGGAACACCGAUGGCGAAGGCAACCGCCUGGGCCUGUACUGACGCUGAGACACGAAAGCGUGGGGAGCAAACAGG